rfam:Candidatus Woesebacteria bacterium RIFCSPHIGHO2_12_FTLL_46_16 rifcsphigho2_12_scaffold_91259, whole genome shotgun sequence.
GGGGGCGACCGGUUUCGACGGAAAGUACUUUAAAAGACCGCAAGCCAAGUUUGAUCCAAACUUGUUAAACAGGAUCAAAAUUAAGCGUCAAGAACUAUUCUUACGCUGUAGCCUAACGCUUAAAAACGUUUUUAGGCUAUUGUCUUUUGGUGGCGAUUCUCGACCGCGCCAAAAAGGCAUAAACCAGUCGGGAUGCCGUAAAAAUUCAUGGCUUUGGAUUUUUGCGAAAGACCAAUAAGCCUCACUCUUAAUCGUCCUGUUGGUAGGUAAGAUUAAGAGAAAAUACAAAAAACCAACUAAGCUUGUAGAAGUCUUUUGAGGUUAUUUUUCGGACGAGGGUUCAAUUCCCUCCGCCUCCACCA